rnacentral:rRNA from 1 species
CUAGUCUCAGUUCGGAUUGGAGUCUGCAACCCGACUCCAUGAAGCUGGAUUCGCUAGUAAUCGCGCAUCAGCCACGGCGCGGUGAAUACGUUCCCGGGCCUUGUACACACCGCCCGUCAAGCCAUGGAAGCCGGGAGUGCCUGAAGUGCGUGAGCGCAAGCAGCGCCCUAAGGUAAAACCGGUGACUGGGGCUAAGUCGUAACAAGGUACC